UUUUCUCAAGGAAGAAGACCUGACGGUACUUGAGGAAUAAGCCACGGCUAAUUCCGUGCCAGCAGCCGCGGUAAUACGGGAGUGGCAAGCGUUAUCCGGAAUUAUUGGGCGUAAAGUGUCCGCAGGCGGCCCUGUAAGUCUGUCGUUAAAGCGUGGAGCUUAACUCCGUUUAAGCGAUGGAAACUACAGGGCUUGAGUGUGGUAGGGGCAGAGGGAAUUCCCGGUGUAGCGGUGAAAUGCGUAGAUAUCGGGAAGAACACCAGUGGCGAAGGCGCUCUGCUGGGCCAUAACUGACGCUCAUGGACGAAAGCCAGGGGAGCGAAAGGGAUUAGAUACCCCUGUAGUCCUGGCCGUAAACGAUGAACACUAGGUGUCGGGGGAAUCGACCCCCUCGGUGUCGUAGCCAACGCGUUAAGUGUUCCGCCUGGGGAGUACGCACGCAAGUGUGAAACUCAAAGGAAUUGACGGGGGCCCGCACAAGCGGUGGAGUAUGUGGUUUAAUUCGAUGCAACGCGAAGAACCUUACCAGGGUUUGACAUCCUGCGAAUCCCUUGGAAACGAGGGAGUGCCUUCGGGAACGCAGUGACAGGUGGUGCAUGGCUGUCGUCAGCUCGUGUCGUGAGAUGUUGGGUUAAGUCCCGCAACGAGCGCAACCCACGUCGUUAGUUGCCAGCAUUCAGUUGGGCACUCUAGCGAGACCGCCGGUGAUAAACCGGAGGAAGGUGUGGAUGACGUCAAGUCAUCAUGCCCCUUACAUCCUGGGCUACACACGUACUACAAUGCUACGGACAAAGGGCCGCAAGCUCGCGAGAGUUAGCAAAUCCCAUAAACCGUGGCUCAGUUCAGAUCGUAGGCUGCAACUCGCCUACGUGAAGGAGGAAUCGCUAGUAAUCGCAGGUCAGCAUACUGCGGUGAAUACGUUCCCGGGCCUUGUACACACCGCCCGUCACACCAUGG
rnacentral:rRNA from 1 species